CCUACGGGUGGCAGCAGUGGGGAAUAUUGCACAAUGGGGGAAACCCUGAUGCAGCGACGCCGCGUGAGUGAAGAAGUAUCUCGGUAUGUAAAGCUCUAUCAGCAGGGAAGAAAAUGACGGUACCUGACUACGAAGCCCCGGCUAACUACGUGCCAUCAGCCGCGGUAAUACGUAGGGGGCAAGCGUUAUCCGGAUUUACUGGGGGUAAAGGGAGCGUAUAGGGGGCUGGAAGUCCGGCGUGAAAGCCACUGGCUUAAACAUGGUACUGCGCUGGAAACUGGGGAGCUUGAGUGCGGUAGGGGCAGGCGGAAUGCCUGGUGUAGCGGUGAAAUGCGUAGAUAUUAGGAGGAACACCGGCGGCGAAGGCGGCCUGCUGGACCGUAACUGACGUUGAGGCUCGAAAGCGUGGGGAGCAAACAGGAUUAGAUACCCUAGUAGUC
rnacentral:rRNA from 1 species